UUUUGGGAUGGUUUAGUUCGACACGUCGAAAAUGGAACAAUACUAAUUUUUGGCAUGAUAAAUAGGUGGGUCCUGGAAGUCUCAUGGAUCGGUUCGCCAACUAUACAACUUCAAAUACUAAUGAAGAUGCAUGUAUUAGCAAUUUUGGCCGUUGGGAUGAUGGGAAUUGGAUAUGGAACUUAUCUCAUGUCGUUUCCCUUUUUCUUGGGAAUAGAAUCACAAUGACAUGCUCUUCAUUUAUAUUAGGAAGUGUGUCAUCCAAGAUAAC
rnacentral:lncRNA from 1 species